rnacentral:sRNA from 1 species
UAGAAGGUACAAAGACAAAGACUCAUACGGACUUUGGGUACACCAUCAAAACUUUGGGAAGCAAGAAGAAGCCUGGUUAUUGUUUUGGAGUCAAAUAUGACUUGAUGUCAUGUGUAUGAUGGAGUAUCAGGACAAGAAUUGCAAUCGGAUCUUUAAAGCCUAAGUAGUGUUUCCUUGUUAGAAGAUACAAGCCAAUGAAUCAUACGGACUUUAGCUACACCAUCAAAGCUUUGUGAAGCAAGAAGAAGCUUAGUUAGUGUUUUAGAGUCAAAUAUGACUUGAUGUCAUGUGUAUGAUUGAGUAUACGAACUAGAACCACAACCGGAUCUUAAAACCCAAAUUAGUGUUUCCUUGUUAGAAGAUACAAAGCUAAAGACUCAUGUGGACUUUGGUAAUACUAUUAAAGCGUUGAGAAUCAAUAAGAAGCUUGGUUAGUGUUUUGGAGUCAAAUAUGACUAGAUGUCAUGUGUAUGAUUGAGUAUAAAAACUGGAACUGCAACCCGAUCUUAAAACCUAGUUAGUGUUUC